UACGUAGGUGACAAGCGUUGUCCGGAUUUACUGGGCGUAAAGCGUGCGCAGGCGGUUCGUUGUGUCUGAUGUGAAAGCCCCGGGCUCAACCUGGGAAUGGCAUUGGAACUGGCGAGCUAGAGUGUGGCGAGAGGGGGUGGGAAUUCCGCGUGUAGCAGUGAAAUUCGUAGAUAUUCGCAAGAACACCAGUGGCGAAGGCGGCUCACUGGCCCGGUACGUGACGCCUGAGUGGCGGAAAGCGUGGGG
rnacentral:rRNA from 1 species